GAACCGCAUGGUUCAAGGAUGAAAGACGGUUUCGGCUGUCACUUACGGAUGGACCCGCGGCGCAUUAGCUAGUUGGUGAGGUAACGGCUCACCAAGGCAACGAUGCGUAACCGACCUGAGAGGGUGAUCGGCCACACUGGGACUGACACACGGCCCACACUCCUACGGGAGGCAGCAGUAGGGAAUCUUCCGCAAUGGACGAAAGUCUGACGGACCACCGCCGCGUGAGUGAUGAAUGUUUUCGGAUCGUAAAGCUCUGUUGUUAGGAAAGAACAAGUGCAAAAGUAACUGCUUGCACCUUGACGGUACCUAACCAGAAAGCCACGGCUAACUACCUGCCACCACCCGCGGUAAUACGUAGGUGGCAAGCGUUGUCCGGAAUUAUUGGGCGUAAAGGGCUCGCAGGCGGUUUCUUAAGUCUGAUGUGAAAGCCCCCGGCUCAACCGGGGAGGGUCAUUGGAGACUGGGAAACUUGAGUGCAAAAAAAGAGAGUGUAAUUCCACGUGUAGCGGUGAAAUGCAUAUAGAUGUGAAGGAACACCAGUGGCGAAAGCCACUCUCUGGUCUGUAACUGACACUGA
rnacentral:rRNA from 1 species